rnacentral:rRNA from 1 species
UACGUAGGGGGCAAGCGUUGUCCGGAUUCAUUGGGCGUAAAGAGCGUGUAGGCGGCCAGGUAGGUCGGUUGUGAAAACUGGAGGCUCAACCUUCAGAGGUCGACCGAAACCAUCUGGCUAGAGUCCGGGAGAGGAGAGUGGAAUUCCUGGUGUAGCGGUGGAAUGCGCAGAUAUCAGGAGGAACACCGGUGGCGAAGGCGGGUCUCUGGGCCAUAACUGACGCUGAGGAGCGAAAGCGUGGGGAGCGAACAGG